UACAGAGGUCUCAAGCGUUGUUCGGAUUCAUUGGGCGUAAAGGGUGCGUAGGCGGCGGGGCAAGUCAGGUGUGAAAUCCCAGGGCUCAACCCUGGAACUGCACUUGAUACUGCCUCGCUAGAGUACUGGAGAGGAGACUGGAAUUUACGGUGUAGCAGUGAAAUGCGUAGAGAUUGUAAGGAAGACCAGUGGCGAAGGCGAGUCUCUGGACAGUUACUGACGCUGAGGCACGAAGGCCAGGGGAGCAAACGGG
rnacentral:rRNA from 1 species